AAUUAUAUGUACUGGUGUCUUGAAAAAUAAUGAGGGAUCGUAUUGCACUGACCACCUUACUUGCUUAUAUUUCCUUUCUCGUUUGUAUGAUUUUGCAACCUUUGCACUUGGUAUAUUUUACUGAACAAAAUAGUCUUUAUUGAACUUGAGAUCAACUGGAGAAGAUUAUUUUACUGAGCAAUAUAUGAUGAGUAUUAUGGAGAAGUAAUAAAUACAGUGGGACUGUGCAACAAAGGAAUCCAUUCUAGUCUCAGUGUUGGAGGAACUUUUCUCUGAGGAAGUAACAGAUGGGAGCUUAGGUAAAAUUUGUGGUGAUGAUAAACAUGGAAGAGUACUUUAAGAAAGCAAGCAAUUUAAUUCUAAUUGUGUGACUUCAUCUUAUUUUCAGAAUGAUUGUUUUCAUGGUAUAUAGUACCUUAACUCUCAACUAUAUGACUAAAUUUAAUGAAUUUUACC
rnacentral:lncRNA from 1 species